rnacentral:rRNA from 1 species
UGACUCUCGGCAACGGAUAUCUCGGCUC